GAUGAACGCUAGCGGCAGGCUUAAUACAUGCAAGUCGAGGGGCAGCACGGUUAGCAAUAACUGGUGGCGACCGGCGCACGGGUGCGUAACACGUAUACAAUCUACCUUAAACAGGGGGAUAGCCUUUCGAAAGAGAGAUUAAUACCCCGUAAUAAAUUGAACGGCAUCGUUUGAUUUUGAAAGCUCCGGCGGUUUGAGAUGAGUAUGCGUCUGAUUAGCUAGUUGGUGAGGUAACGGCUCACCAAGGCGACGAUCAGUAGGGGAUCUGAGAGGACUAACCCCCACACUGGUACUGAGACACGGCCCAGACUCCUACGGGAGGCAGCAGUAGGGAAUCUUGCGCAAUGGGCGAAAGCCUGACGCAGCCAUGCCGCGUGUAUGAUGAAGGUCUUAGGGUUGUAAAGCUCUUUUACCCGAGAUGAUAAUGACAGUAUCGGGAGAAUAAGCUCCGGCUAACUCCGUGCCAGCAGCCGCGGUAAU
rnacentral:rRNA from 1 species